GACGAACGUUGGCGGCGUGCUUAAUACAUGCAAGUCAACUGAAGCACCGGUAGUAAUACUGGUGUGGAGGUGGCGCACGGGUGAGUAACACGUAGGUAAUCUGCCUUCAGGUCUGACAUAACCCCGAGAAAUCGGGGCUAAUAGCAGAUGAUGCAGCGGCUUGACAUCAAAGACAGUUGUUAAAGCUUCGGCGCCUGAAGAUGAGCCUGCGUCUGAUUAGCUAGUUGGCGGAGUAAUAGCCCACCAAGGCGACGAUCAGUAGCUGGUCUGAGAGGAUGAUCAGCCACACUGGAACUGAGACACGGUCCAGACUCCUACGGGAGGCAGCAGUAAGGAAUAUUGCUCAAUGGGAGAAAUCCUGAAGCAGCAACGCCGCGUGAGGGAUGAAGGGCUUUUGCUCGUAAACCUCUGUAGUGAGGGAAAAAUUUCCAUUCUAUGGAAUAUGAUGGUACCUCAAAAGUAAG
rnacentral:rRNA from 1 species